rnacentral:rRNA from 1 species
CCUACGGGUGGCAGCAGUGAGGAAUAUUGGACAAUGGGCGAAAGCCUGAUCCAGCCAUGCCGCGUGCAGGAAGACUGCCCUAUGGGUUGUAAACUGCUUUUAUACGGGAAGAAACCCUGCCACGUGUGGCGGGCUGACGGUACCGUAAGAAUAAGGAUCGGCUAACUCCGUGCCAGCAGCCGCGGUAAUACGGAGGAUCCGAGCGUUAUCCGGAAUCAUUGGGUUUAAAGGGUCCGUAGGUGGACGAUUAAGUCAGAGGUGAAAUCCUGCAGCUCAACUGUAGAAUUGCCUUUGAUACUGGUCGUCUUGAAUUACUGUGAAGUGGUUAGAAUAUGUAGUGUAGCGGUGAAAUGCAUAGAUAUUACAUAGAAUACCAAUUGCGAAGGCAGAUCACUAACAGUAUAUUGACACUGAUGGACGAAAGCGUGGGGAGCGAACGG